rnacentral:rRNA from 1 species
GUAGGGAAUAUUGGGCAAUGGAGGCAACUCUGACCCAGCCAUGCCGCGUGCAGGAUGACGGCCCUCUGGGUUGUAAACUGCUUUUAUCUGGGAAGAAAAAGGCCAUGCGUGGCAAAUUGCCGGUACCAGAUGAAUAAGCACCGGCUAACUCCGUGCCAGCAGCCGCGGUAAUACGGAGGGUGCGAGCGUUGUCCGGAUUUAUUGGGUUUAAAGGGUGCGUAGGCGGCUGAUUAAGUCAGCGGUGAAAGACUUCGGCUUAACCGGAGCAGUGCCGUUGAUACUGGUUGGCUUGAGUGUCGGAGGGGUACAUGGAAUUGAUGGUGUAGCGGUGAAAUGCAUAGAUACCAUCAGGAACACCGAUAGCGAAGGCAUUGUACUGGCCGACAACUGACGCUGAUGCACGAAAGUGUGGGGAUCGAACAGGAUUAGAUACCCUAGUAGUCC